rnacentral:rRNA from 1 species
AAUAGAUACCCAGGUAGUCCACGCCGUAAACGAUGAGUGCUAAGUGUUAGAGGGUUUCCGCCCUUUAGUGCUGAAGUUAACGCAUUAAGCACUCCGCCUGGGGAGUACGGCCGCAAGGCUGAAACUCAAAGGAAUUGACGGGGGCCCGCACAAGCGGUGGAGCAUGUGGUUUAAUUCGAAGCAACGCGAAGAACCUUACCAGGUCUUGACAUCCUCUGACAACCCUAGAGAUAGGGCUUCUCCUUCGGGAGCAGAGUGACAGGUGGUGCAUGGUUGUCGUCAGCUCGUGUCGUGAGAUGUUGGGUUAAGUCCCGCAACGAGCGCAACCCUUGAUCUUAGUUGCCAUCAUUAAGUUGGGCACUCUAAGGUGACUGCCGGUGACAAACCGGAGGAAGGUGGGGAUGACGUCAAAUCAUCAUGCCCCUUAUGACCUGGGCUACACACGUGCUACAAUGGACGGUACAAAGAGCUGCAAGAUCGCGAGGUGGAGCUAAUCUCAUAAAAACCGUUCUCAGUUCGGAUUGU